AUGACUUCUAGAGGUAGAGGAACCCAAAAAUCAAACAUAUCUGGUACAAAAGGAACUCCACGCAUUGCUAUAUCCAGUUAUAAAAUCGGAUACACCUGGAACCAAGGUGGAAGACAAGGCCCCGAGAAUAAGGCAACUUGCAUGGAGUUCCUCAAACUAUGGAUACAGAAGACUUUUGGAUGGGUUCAUCCUUACAAUGCAAGUUGGGUGUGGACUAUGUGGCAGACUAGGAUGUGGAGGAGGUAUGAUGAAUGUGAUAUAGAGGACCAAGCACUGGGCUCUGACUCUACAGAGUAA
rnacentral:lncRNA from 1 species